ACAUGUCUAGUAUAAGUUAAUACAUUAGAUUUAGGUUCUAAAGAUUUGUGAUAUGU
ensembl:tRNA